rnacentral:rRNA from 1 species
AUUGAACGCUGGCGGCAGGCCUAACACAUGCAAGUCGAGCGGAUGAAGGGAGCUUGCUCCUGGAUUCCGCGGCGGACGGGUGAGUAAUGCCUAGGAAUCUGCCUGGUAGUGGGGGAUAACGUCCGGAAACGGGCGCUAAUACUGCAUACGUCCUGAGGGAGAAAGUGGGGGAUCUUCGGACCUCACGCUAUCAGAUGAGCCUAGGUCGGAUUAGCUAGUUGGUGGGGUAAAGGCCUACCAAGGCGACGAUCCGUAACUGGUCUGAGAGGAUGAUCAGUCACACUGGAACUGAGACACGGUCCAGACUCCUACGGGAGGCAGCAGUGGGGAAUAUUGGACAAUGGGCGAAAGCCUGAUCCAGCCAUGCCGCGUGUGUGAAGAAGGUCUUCGGAGUGUAAAGCACUUUAAGUUGGGAGGAAGGGCAGUAAGUUAAUACCUUGCUGUUUUGACGUUACCAACAGAAUAAGCACCGGCUAACUUCGUG